AGUGAACGCUGGCGGUAGGCCUAACACAUGCAAGUCGAACGGAAGCACAGUAAGAGCUUGCUCUUACGGGUGGCGAGUGGCGGACGGGUGAGGAAUACAUCGGAAUCUACUUUUUCGUGGGGGAUAACGUAGGGAAACUUACGCUAAUACCGCAUAUGACCUACGGGUGAAAGCAGGGGAUCUUCGGACCUUGCGUGAUUGAAUGAGCUGAUGUCGGAUUAGCUAGUUGGCGGGGUAAAGGCCCACCAAGGCGACGAUCCGUAGCUGGUCUGAGAGGAUGAUCAGCCACACUGGAACUGAGACACGGUCCAGACUCCUACGGGAGGCAGCAGUGGGGAAUAUUGGACAAUGGGCGCAAGCCUGAUCCAGCCAUACCGCGUGGGUGAAGAAGGCCUUCGGGUUGUAAAGCCCUUUUGUUGGGAAAGAAAAGCAGCAGGUUAAUCCCCCGCUGUUCUGACGGUACCCAAAGAAUAAGCACCGGCUAACUUCGUG
rnacentral:rRNA from 1 species